CUGGCCUUGGCCCCAGUCCAGAAUGAGGACAUUUCUCAAUGGUUUAAGAGCUUCCUGCUUCUAGAAGAGGAACAGUUUUGGCUGUCUGCUAGGCACCAUGUGAAACACUUGGGGGGUACAAUCACAUCCUUGUGCUAGAGACCCUGACACUCUACAGAGGGAGGGGCAGGUGACAACUGACUAAACUUCAGGACGGACUGGAAAAUAGGUUAGUGUGGAUCCAAACCAUGUUUUUCUAGUUAUCUUAAGGCCAUAGUCUUAAGUGUAACUAGAGAUCUCAGGUUCCAAAUUCCUCCAUUUGGC
rnacentral:lncRNA from 1 species